ACUCUUGACCUCGGAUCAGGUAGGGAUACCCGCUGAA
rnacentral:rRNA from 1 species